UACAGAGGUGGCAAGCGUUGUUCGGAAUUACUGGGCGUAAAGGGCGCGUAGGCGGCCUACUAAGUCAGACGUGAAAUCCCCCGGCUUAACCUGGGAACUGCGUCUGAUACUGGAAGGCUUGAGGAUGGGAGAGGGAUGUAGAAUUCCAGGUGUAGCGGUGAAAUGCGUAGAUAUCUGGAGGAACACCGGUGGCGAAGGCGGGUCUCUGGGCCGAAACUGACGCUGAGGAGCGAAAGCGUGGGGAGCAAACAGG
rnacentral:rRNA from 1 species